rnacentral:rRNA from 1 species
CCUGUUUGAUCCUUCUAGUAGUCAUAUGCUUGUCUCAAAUAUUAAGCCAUGCACGUGUAAGUAUGAACUAAUUUAGACUUUGAAACUGUAGAUGGAUUAUUAAAUCAGUGAUAGUUUCUUUGAUGGUACCCUACUACUCAAAUAACUGUAGUAAUUAUAGAGCUAAUACAUGCACUAAGUCUCAAAUCUUUGGAAGGGAUGAAUUUAUUAGAUAAAAGGUUGGGGCGGGCUUGCCCGCUUCUCCAGUGAAUCAUCAUAACUCGACGGAUCACACAUCCCUUGUGUUGGAAAUGCUUCAUUCAAAUUACUUCAUUAUCAAAUUUCGAUGGUAGGAUAGAGGCCUCCAUGGUGGUGAUGGGUGACGAAGAAUUAGGGUUCGAUUCUAGAGAGGGAGCCUGAGAAACAACUACCACAUCCAAGGAAGGCAGCAAGCGCGCAAAUUACCCAAUCCUAACAUGGGGAGGUAGUGACAAUAAAUAACAAUAUUGGGCUCAUCGAGUCUGGUAAUUGGAAUGAGUACAAUCUAAAUCCCUUAACGAGGAUCCAUUGGAGGGCAAGUCUGGUGCCAACAACCACAUUAAUUCCAUCUCCAAUAGCGUAUAUUUAAGUUGUUGCAGUUAAAAAUCUCGUAGUUGGAUCUUGGGUCGUAAAGGUUGGUAUGCCUACUCAGUGUGCAUCUUCCCUUCCAUCCCUUUUGUCGAUGGUGUGCUCUUGGCCUUAAUUGGCUGGGUCACGGUUUCGACGUUGUUACUUUGAAAAAAUUAGAGUGCUCAAAGAAAUCUUAUGCUUUGAAUACAUUAGCAUGGAAUAAAGCGAUAGGAGUAUGGUCCUAUUGUGUUGGCCUUCGGGACCAGAGUAAUGAUUAAUAGGGAUUGUUGAGGGCAUUUUUAUUUCAUUGUCAGAGGUGAAAUUAUUGGAUUUAUGAAAGACGAACCACUACGAAAUAUUUUACAAGGAUGUUUUCAUUAAUCAAGAAUGAAAUUUGGGGGUUCGAAGAUGAUCAGAUACCAUCCUAGUCUCAAUAAUAAAUGAUGUCAACUAGGGAUCGACGGAUGUUUCUCUAAGGACUCUGCCAACACCUUCUGAGAAAUCAGAGCGUUUGGGUUCCGGGGGGAGUAUGGUCACAAGUCUGAAACUUAAAGGAAUUGAUGGAAGGGAACCACCAAGAGUGUAGCCUGUGGCUUAAUUUGACUAAACACGGGAAAACUUACCAGGUCCAGACAUAGUAAGGAUUGAAUGAUUGAGAGAUCUAUCUUGAUUCUAUGGGUGGUGGUGCAUAGUCGUUCUUAUUUGGUGGAGCGAUUUGUCUGGUUAAUUUUGAUAAUGAAUGAGACCUCAACCUGCUAACUAGCUACGUGAAGGUUCCCCUUCGCGACCAAGUUCUUAGAGGGACAAUGAUUGUUUAGGCCAUGGAAUUUUGAGGCAAUAACAGGUCGGUGAUGCCCUUAUAUGUUCAAGGCCGCACGCACUCUACACUGAUGUAGUCAAUGAUUUUUUCUCCCUGGUUCUAGAGGAUCAGGAAAGAAGGAAGUUCUUGGGAGAUCGAAAUCUUUGAGGAGAUCAAUCUCAGGAGGGGUAGCACUUUCCAAGAAGUGUGAACAAUAUCCAAGAAGCAGAAUCGCAU